rnacentral:lncRNA from 1 species
CAGUGUGGCACCCACCAGAGUGUCCUGCUGAGCCCAGAACUGCUCCCCUCGGACCUGGGGACAGGAAGCUCCAGCUCCUGAGGCCAGGGCAGGUCCCCAGGUGAGGUCAGGGCUGGGGACACCCCAUCCAGCAGGAGCCUCAGGGCCACCCCCUGGCCCUGGCACCGCGCACAGGACUGGGAGGAACUUGAGGAACUCAGAACCACUGAGGUUGGGAAAGACCUGGGGGUCCCCAAGUGCAAUCCCCACCUUGUCCCCACCCUGAGUGACACCUGCAGGGAUGGGCACUCCAAACUCCCUGGGCAGCCCUGCCGAGGCCUGAGCCCCCCUUUCCAUGGGGAAAUUCUCCCUGCUGGAAGAGCCACCACAGUGUAAAGGGAUAUUUUUGCUCUCCUUCUGUCUUUUCCCAUCCUGGCUGGCUCCUCUCCCUCAUUUCUCAUGGUCUCUCAUUCAUUCUCUCAUGGGCUGGAGGCCCCUCUGGGCUCUGGGGAGGGGGACUGGGGCUCCUCCUGUCCCACCCAGCUCUGGGCUGGCAGGGUCACACGUGUCCCUUUCAGGGUGAGGAAAAGCCUCCCUCGGGCACCUCCAGCUGCCCGUGGUGCCUCCCCCUCCGCCGCUGCAAUUUCACUCCUUCUUCAGUUACCAGAUUGUUUCCCAGAUCGGGCAGGACUUGAAUUUCUGAUGUACAAAGUGUCAGAAGGGCUCCCGAGCCCCUCUGGGGCUCUCUCCUUGCGCUGCUGGGAGGUGGGGAAAGGGCAAAUCCCUUUUUUCCCUUUGCAGAGGGUGUUUGCUGGGAGCUGCUGCUGCUGGGAUUAUCCCACACAAUCCCGCUCUGGAUCCACCCCUGAUUCUCCCCGCCCUUGGGCAGGGGAUCAGGGAAAGGUGGAAGGCUUUCUCCUGCCACCACCAGGGAGAGGGAAGAGGGGCCAGAGGAAGGUCCCUGCUGUCCCCAUGCCCUGCUGGGCCCCUCUGGGUGCAUCCAGGGGAGGAUUUUCUGCCUCCUGCCCACUGGCAGUGGUGAUGGGCAUGAUGGCAAACUUCCAGAGAGCCUGGAAACCCGAGCCUGCUCCUCGCAGCCUUUCAGGUGGGGGAGAUAAGGAUCUCCCUGGAGACGCUCCAGGCUCCAGCCCUGCCCCUCCCGCUCUCCCUGCACCUGUCGGUCUGUCCAUCUGCUGUGCCUGGCUGUUAACCCACAGCCCUGCCUUUCUGGGGGCACACAAUGUGGUUUUGGUCUGUCUGCACGGGGUCCAUCCCCACGGGCUCCUGUUUCCUCUCCUCACAGAAGGGACAAUCAAAUGGGAGAUGAGGCUGGCAGAGCUGGAGGUGAUGGCGUUUUCCCANNNNNNNNNNNNNNNNNNNNNNNNNNNNNNNNNNNNNNN